rnacentral:rRNA from 1 species
GGUUGGUGGACUGUACGGAAGCGAGAAUGCCGGCAUGAGUAGCGAAAAACGUGUGAGAACCACGUUCACCGGAAGCCCAAGGAUUCCUGGGGAAGGUUGAUCCACCCAGGGUAAGGCGGGACCUAAGGCGAGGCCGCGAGGCGUAGUUGAUGGACAGCAGGUUGACAUUCCUGCCCCGCCCUGACGACGCAUGGACCGAAGGGGUGACGCGGGAGGCCAGGUGCGCCGGGUGCUGGAAGACCCGGUCCAAGGACGUAGGGGGAGGGACCAGGGAAAGCCGGUUCCUUGAAAACCCUGAGAUCUGAUGGGGAGCCCCAAAUGGGGCGAAGGCAUUGACGCCCGACCGCCGAGAAAAGCCUCUAGGGAGGAAUUGGGGCGCCCGUACCCGAAACCGACACAGGUGGGCUGGCUGAGCAGGCUAAGGUGGACGAGAGAACCCUCGCUAAGGAACUCUGCAAGUUGACCCCGUAACCUCGGGAGAAGGGGUGCCCCUGAGGGUGAGGUGUACAAGACGAUGCCGAGCUUUUGGGGGUCGCAGAAACCAGGCCCAGGCGACUGUUUACUAAAAACACAGGACUCUGCUGAAGGCGUUAAGCCGACGUAUAGGGUCUGACACCUGCCCGGUGCUGGAAGGUUAAGGGGAGAGGUUAUCCGGCACUCAGCUUGUUUCAUUGGUGUAGCAUGAACGGAAGGACUACGUAUCCGAUGGAGCGUGCAUGAUCGAUGGGAUGAGCUGAGUGCCGGAGAAGCUUUGAACCGAAGCCCCAGUAAACGGCGGCCGUAACUAUAACGGUCCUAAGGUAGCGAAAUUCCUUGUCAGGUAAGUUCUGACCUGCACGAAUGGUGUAACGAUCUGGGCGCUGUCUCGGCGAGGGACUCGGUGAAAUUGUGGAACCGGUAAAGACGCCGGUUACCCGUGGUGGGACGGAAAGACCCCGUGGAGCUUUACUGUAGCCUGUUAUUGGAUUUUGGUACGUCAUGUACAGGAUAGGUGGGAGGCUAAGAAGUCUGUGCGCCAGCGCAGGUGGAGCCGUCCUUGGGAUACCACCCUUGAUGUACUGGGGUUCUAACCGCAGAGUCUGAAACGACGUGCGGGACAGUGGCAGGUGGGCAGUUUGACUGGGGCGGUCGCCUCCCAAAGAGUAACGGAGGCGCGCGAAGGUCACCUCGAGGCGUAUGGAAAUCGCCUUAUGAGCGCAAGGGUAUAAGGUGGCCUUACUGUGAGACUGACAGGUCGAGCAGUCGCGAAAGCGGGUCCUAGUGAUCCGGCGGUACCGAGUGGAAGGGCCGUCGCUCAUCGGAUAAAAGCUACCCCGGGGAUAACAGGCUGAUCUUGCCCGAGAGUUCCUAUCGACGGCAAGGUUUGGCACCUCGAUGUCGGCUCGUCGCAUCCUGGGGCUGAAGCAGGUCCCAAGGGUUGGUCUGUUCGCCCAUUAAAGCGGUACGUGAGCUGGGUUUAGAACGUCGUGAGACAGUUCGGUCCCUAUCCACCACGGGCGGAAGUGAUUUGAGGGGAGCUGCUCCUAGUACGAGAGGACCGGAGUGGACGCACCGCUGGUGUACCGGUUGUGUUGCCAGAUGCAUAAGCCGGGUAGCUAUGUGCGGAACGGAUAACCGCUGAAGGCAUCUAAGCGGGAAGCCGGCCUCAAGAUGAGAUCACUCACCGCGUAAGCGGGUAAGGCACCCUGGAGAAGACGGGGUAGAUAGGCCGGAGGUGUAAGACGUGCGAGCGUUUGAGCCGACCGGUACUAAUAUGCCGAGGCCUUAACC